rnacentral:rRNA from 1 species
GACGAACGCUGGCGGCGUGCCUAAUACAUGCAAGUUGAGCGCUGAAGGUUGGUACUUGUACCAACUGGAUGAGCAGCGAACGGGUGAGUAACGCGUGGGGAAUCUGCCUUUGAGCGGGGGACAACAUUUGGAAACGAAUGCUAAUACCGCAUAAAAACUUUAAACACAAGUUUUAAGUUUGAAAGAUGCAAUUGCAUCACUCAAAGAUGAUCCCGCGUUGUAUUAGCUAGUUGGUGAGGCAAAGGCUCACCAAGGCGAUGAUACAUAGCCGACCUGAGAGGGUGAUCGGCCACAUUGGGACUGGGACACGGCCCAAACUCCUACGGGAGGCAGCAGUAGGGAAUCUUCGGCAAUGGACGAAAGUCUGACCGAGCAACGCCGCGUGAGUGAAGAAGGUUUUCGGAUCGUAAAACUCUGUUGGUAGAGAAGAACGUUGGUGAGAGUGGAAAGCUCAUCAAGUGACGGUAACUACCCAGAAAGGGACGGCUAACUACGUG